UGGGGAAUAUUGCACAAUGGAGGGAACUCUGAUGCAGCGACGCCGCGUGAACGAAGAAGGCUUUCGAGUCGUAAAGUUCUUUUAUAUGGGAAGAUAAUGACGGUACCAUAAGAAAAAGCCCCGGCUAACUACGUGCCAGCAGCCGCGGUAAUACGUAGGGGGCUAGCGUUGUCCGGAAUCACUGGGCGUAAAGGGUUCGCAGGCGGAAAUGCAAGUCAGGUGUAAAAGGCAGUAGCUUAACUACUGUAAGCAUUUGAAACUGCAUAUCUUGAGAAGAGUAGAGGUAAGUGGAAUUUUUAGUGUAGCGGUGAAAUGCGUAGAUAUCGGGAAGAACACCGAUGGCGAAGGCAGCCUGCUGGGCCGGCACUGACGCUGAGGCGCGAAAGCUAGGGGAGCGAACAGG
rnacentral:rRNA from 1 species